rnacentral:rRNA from 1 species
AUCGAACGCUGGCGACAGGCCUAACACAUGCAAGUCGAGCGAGCGGCGGACGGGUGAGUAAUGUAUGGGGACUGCCCGACAGAGGGGGAUAACUACUGGAAACGGUAGCUAAUACCGCAUACUAUCGGAUAACCCAUAUGGGAUUAGCUAGUAGGUCAUGUAAUGGCUAACCUGGGCGACGAUCCCUAGCUGGUCUGAGAGGAUGAUCAGCUACACUGGGACUAGGACACGGCCCAGACUCCUACGGAGGCAGCGGUGGGGAAUAUUGCACAAUGAGCGAAAGCCUGAUGCAGACAGGCCGCGGGUAUGAAGAAGGCCCUAGGGUUGUAAAGUACUGGCAGUCGGGAGGCGUAACCAACAGGAGAAGCACCGGCUAACUCCGGGCCAGCAGCCGCGGUAAAC